UAGAGCACUUUUUCAAUGUGCUCCACAACGAGAAGGCGACGACGCAUUCGUAUGUCAAUCCAUAUCAACUUUCCAUGCCAUUGACUGCGCCUACCAUGGUGACCAUGGGUAACGGGGAAUCAGGGUUCGAUUCCAUACAGGGACCCUGACAAAUGGCUGCCACAUGCAAGGAAGGCAUUAGGCGCGCAAAUGACCUACUGCUGAUGCGGGAAGGUAGUGA